ACGCUCGCAGCACCAUUCGGUGCCCGCUUCGGCGGGAGAAUCGGGAACGCGGUGAAACUCCGCGACGUGCCCAACGCUGUAAGGGUGAUCCGCCGGACAUCAGCCACUGGCUUUCAUAGCUGGGAAGGCGCCCGGAGGGAGACGAGCCCAAGUCAGAAGACCGGCCGAAGGGGAUAGGCGACCG
rnacentral:ncRNA from 20 species